rnacentral:rRNA from 1 species
AAUGAACGUUGGCGGCGUGGAUUAGGCAUGCAAGUCGUGCGAGAAGCUUUUUUUGCUUGCAUUAGAAGUGGACAGCGGCGAAAGGGAGAGUAACGCGUGGAUAUCUGCCCCUAGACUCGGGAUAGCUGCGGGAAACUGCAGGUAAUACCGAAUAAUGUCUCCGGACCAAAGGUGUGAUUCCGUCUAGGGAUGAGUCCGCGUCCUACUAGCUUGUUGGUGGGGUAAUGGCCUACCAAGGCAAUGAUGGGUAGCGGGUGUGAGAGCAUGGCCCGUCUCACUGGGACUGAGACACUGCCCAGACACCUACGGGUGGCUGCAGUCGAGAAUCUUCCGCAAUGGACGAAAGUCUGACGGAGCGACGCCGCGUGCGGGAUGAAGGCCCUCGGGUUGUAAACCGCUGUCAGUUGGGAGGAAAUGCAUAAGGGUUCUCUCUUAUGUUUGACCGAUCUUCAGAGGAAGUCCGGGCUAAGUUCGUGCCAGCCGCCGCCGUAACAC